AGUAACACAAGAUUAGUUCAUGGUAGCUGCCAACACCGAGGUCAACAAAAAUCACGCUAAUCAGAUGAGCUGGAACUUGCGGUGUGUCGGUUUUUAUGGCCUUUCCUCCUAGCUGUAUCCCCCGACUGUCUUUUUCAACAGCGGUGGCCUUCUCAAUACCCUCCUUCAAACAGACGACAGAAGUUCGCCAGGUAAACAACAAUAGGAUGUACGAAGGUUUUUGGCGUGCCCGCACAACCAGAAACCCGUACUGGCCAGCUGUACAGUGACUGUGGCUCAUACACUGUCUGUCCUGGACCAAGAGCAGGUCACUGCUGACAGUGCAAGAGACAGACAUGGCUCACACUUGGAGUUGCCGGGCUGAGUUACCUUCAUUGCAUUCGUCUCCUAGAAAUCAGGACAGGUGUCGCUUUCUUGCCUUUUCAGUCUCGGUGCUCUGCUCAAAAACAAUCAGCCCCACUACUGCCAUGCCAUCUGCUCUUUUUUCAGUUCUUCUGAUGUCAUCUGUCUCUCCAGAAACUCUGAACAACUGCGACCGUUUUGUCUUUCUUCCCUUUGCCAUCUCCUUUUCUCCCUUCCUAACCCAUUCACUCCACUCUCCCUCCACCCCCCCUUUUCUCUCCAUUUCCUAUAAUUGUUGUUUUUGUUUUUCUCGCUGGCCUUGCAGGAGCCCCUGGCCACUGACUCCCACAUGGGUGCGAGCACAUGGCUCCUGUCUGCACCAGAUCUAGGCCUGUCCGGAACACUGUGGCCCAGGCUCCUACAGCAAUGUGGCACCCUUUACCUGGUCUAGUCUUGGGCCUCGACUCUUCCCUCUUCCAAAGCUUUAAGCCACAUGCAUAGCUGAUAUUUCUUCUUCUCUGGGGAGUUCUGCUUGGAAUGCUCUAAUUCAAUCCAGCUAGCAAAUUUUAGCAAGCAGUAGCUCUCUUUCUACUUCCGCGUCAAUCUCAGGCUGGUUUGAGAUUCUGCUAGUGCUGCACCUGUUCGCCGACUCACACUCUUUCACCCACAUCUUACAUGCUUCUGAUUCACUUCAUUCACCAUCCGUGUUCUUCUGAAACACUGCAUAUCGAAAUCUAAUGAAAGCAGCUCAAGCCUGCAUUAUAUGUGCUUCUCAUUCACUGCAUAUCCGAAUCUGUUUGAUCAAAGCGCAUCAUACACCCUUCUCAUUCAUUCUGUCCUCCAAAACUGCAGCCAAGCCAACUUGCUCUUAGCUCGGUGUUUGAAAUCUGGGCUGGUGUCUUGUGUAUCAUUUGGGGGGGGAAUGUAACAGCAUUGAUCUCUGUCCAUCACUGACCUUUCAUCAGCCAGCAAAUUAUCUCCAAAGUAUUAAGUAUUUUAAUCUUUUAUAUUUGUUGGUUUCAUCA